AGAGAGAUUCCAAAUUAGUAAAAUCUUUAGGACUCUCUCCUUCCCUUUCCUUUCCGGCAGCCACCACCCCGGAUUCCGGCCAAUCUCCGGCAACCUAAAACCCCCCAAUCUUUUACCCCCUUUCCGAUCAAUCCACCCAGAAAACCAGCCAGCAAACAAGGUGAAACCCUAAGAUACCUAUCCUCUCUUCCAACCAGCCACUAUCACCCACCCUUCACUCACUUCCUCAACCAGAAACCCAUCAGAUUUCACCACCAAAAACCAUCGGAAACGACCCCAAACAUACGUCGAACUACGGUGAAACCCCACCCCAAAAACCCUUUUGUUUCUUUCCCCUUUUUCCAACGAGCAGCAGCCGCCACUCCCGCGAACAACAGUAGUAGCUCCGGCGAGGAGCUUUAGGAACCAGAGCAAAGAAGGAACUAAACGAACCAGUCCCCUUCCCCUUUUCCCCUUUUCAAUUUUUCCUUCAUUUUUGCAGGUAUCCAGUCGUACAACGAACUCAAAGCUCCGACAGAUCUAUCGAACCAAACCCAUUUUCCCAUUCCUGUUACAUCGCUGCUUCGACCAACCAUAUAAACUAACAACUCCGACGUGGCUCCAUCGCCGGCGAACGAAAUCAACUCAUCAUUCCCCACUCUUCUCCAACUAGCAGACCCAAAACUCCAUCACUGGUAAAACUCCACAUCUUAUUUACUUCUUUUUUUUUCAUUUUUUCUCUUAGUCUAAGUUUUGUUCGAAAUAUUGAUUGAUACUUGGGUUGUUUUACUCUUUAUUGUUAAUCACUGUUGAUUUGUUAGUUGUUUAUGUUUUUGUUAAGUUGGUUUAGUUUUUAUACAUUGUGUUAAGUCAUAUUUUUUUCUUUCUAUUGAUUUUAUUAUGCCAUGUGUCUUUGAUUUAUCUAGCUAUCUCUGUUGCUUUAUUUCAUUCUGUUUAUAUAUGGCCUUAGUUAAUAGUUAUCUUGCUACAGUUAUUGUUAUUUGUUAUUAUUUUAUAAUUUUAAUUAUUUGUCAUGGUUACUAGAUAAAACUUGUUAACUUAGAUAUGUCUUUGUUACUGUUUUAAUUUAUGUUGUUGUUGAUAAAUGUUAUUAUUAAUUAUUAUGUUCAUUUGCUAACCAAAUGCACCGUUUCCUUGAAGUUGUUAAGUUAUUAUAGUAUUAUUAUUAUUAUGCCUUUGUUUUCUUUUUUUUGUUUAUUAUUAUUAUUAUCUCUUCUUAAGAUUAUUAGUGUUAUUAUUAAUGUUGUUAGUUGUGUUAUUCUCGUUGAAAUUCUUCUUCUUCUUUUUGCUCGUUAUAGUUUAUUAUUUACCCGCUUCAAUUCCUACUAUUGUUCUAAGAAGUUCCAGCAACUCCGUGUUAAUAUUUAAAUUAGUAUUGUUAUCAUUUUGUUAUGUAUUUAUCUUCUCUUAGUCGUUUGAAGUUAUUUUAUUUUAUUCUUUGUUCACUUUAAUAUAAAUUUUGUGUUGGAAUAUAAGUUAAAUUUGGCCAAUGAAAAAAUUCUCCGUCGGUUUUUGAGGCUUUCACAUUUUAAAUGAUGGAAAUUUAGUUUAAGUUUAAAUAUAUAUUAUAUGUCAAAAUUGGCCGAUGAAAAAAUCUCUCCGUCGGUUUUGGAGGCCAUCCCAAUGUUAAAAGACGGAAAUUUAGUUUAACUUCAUAUUUUUGUACGUUAAAAUUGGCCGAUAAAAAAUUAUCGUUGAUUUUCAAGGCCUCCCAUGUUACUAAGACGGAUUUUUAUUUUUUAAAUUAUUGUUUAAUUCAUUUAUUUUUAUUCAUAUUUAUUUAUUACUUAACACUUUUACUAAGUGUCUUUUACAGGUACCCGUAGUUUGCUUUCCAUUGAAGCUAUUCGAACAAAGUUCGAACAAUAUUUUGAUUCAUUAUCGUAUAUUAUUGACGAUAGACAAAUCUAGGUUGUUUCUUAUAUUAUUUUAUUUGAUUACUUGUGUAUCUUGUAUGUUUGUUUUAUUUGUAUAUUAUUUUUAUCUCUUUCUCAAUUUGAAAAAAUGAACUCAGUCGGGACCCAUAAUUGUGGAUUUCGAAGGAUGCCUAACACCUUCUCUUCGAAAUAACUUGAACCCCUUACCUAGAAUCUCUUGGUUUUGUAGAUCAUUUAAUUGGUUUCCUAGUUUUCCUAAAAUUAGGUGGCGACUCAUUUAAAAUUUGUUUAUUCUUAAAAUUCUUUUAAAAUCAGCCUAAUUGAUUAUUUUUUGAGUUACCACGACGUUUCGCCCUAUUUGAAUAGAGUAGGGAUGUAAACACCUACUAAAUAUCCUAAUCCCACAUGAAUGAUGUGAUAAGUCUCAGGUCCAGACGUGCCCGCCGUCUGCUGCCGGGCCACUCGUCGACGACUUCAUGCCGUCGCGCACCGCAAAUUAUCCUGCCCGGUGACAAAGCGGAACUACUAGAAAAAGUGAGAAUUCGACUAGCGCCGUCGUAAGGAGCAAUUUUUCUUUCAUCACAAUUCUCUCAAUGCAAUUCAUCUGUAUUUAUAUGUAAAUUUAUCGUUUUUCCAUAAUGGCCUUUACUUUUUCUUUUCUCUAGUAUGGAGGAUUCGACUGCGUCUUACAAUUUUCCAUUUGAUUCUCCCUAAUUGAUAUUUCUCAAUGAGUUUACUAUGAAAUUUGUGAUUUGUAUCAUUUUGAUCAUAUAUACUGCUCAGUUAUAAUCAUACUCAACUAUUAAUUUGGCUUUAAAGGUUUAGCAAUUAUAAUCUUUUUAGUAUUCCUGGUACCAUCAGUAAGACUGCCUACAAUACUGGGAGUUUAGUGCGCUGCACUGUCCUUUGGUCUCAUCAGUAGCUACAAUUAUGCAUCUAAUCCUCUUAUUCUCUGCUGGAUUGAUAUCAGUUGAACCGUUUUCAUUGUGUAAGCAGGUUGUUAUGAAUGAGAAGGAUCUGAAUAGGUUCAAAUGUGUCACCUCAUACGGAAGCAUGAACUCUUCGUGGAAGUAUUACUCAGGAGAAGAAGUUGCAGCUGC
rnacentral:lncRNA from 1 species